AGAGUGGAAGUUUAAAAAUAUUUGACCUGCAAUCAAAAGAAGGCUUGAAAGCCCCACUUUA
rnacentral:tRNA from 2 species